CCCCCCCCCCACCCCCACCCUGCCACUGCUUCGGGACGACUGGAUCGCCGCGCCUGGGCCGGAGCGAGCCAUCUGCGGGCACUAUGCAAAGCGGGAGACGGCGCGAGCGGCGCCCGGCUCACACUAGCUCUUCCAGGACGCAGAGAGAACCAUUCUCUGCUUUCAAUAGGACAGAAGAGCUCCUUGGCACUGGAUGCCUCCGGGUCUGGUUGAGAGAGGAAUGGUUAGGAGAUUGUUCUGAGGAUAUGCAGACAUCAUCCAAAGCUUCCUACAUUCAGAUGAGGACAGAGGUUGGGCUAGAGCUUUGUAUGCUUGUUACCUAAGUAUGGUUCUGACCAUGUAAGCAGAUCACAGAAGAGCCAGCCUUGACAAUGUGCUGAUGGCAACCU
rnacentral:antisense_RNA from 1 species